rnacentral:rRNA from 1 species
CCUACGGGAGGCAGCAGUGAGGAAUAUUGGUCAAUGGACGAGAGUCUGAACCAGCCAAGUAGCGUGAAGGAUGACUGCCCUAUGGGUUGUAAACUUCUUUUAUAUGGGAAUAAAACGUUCCACGUGUGGGAUUUUGUAUGUACCAUAUGAAUAAGGAUCGGCUAACUCCGUGCCAGCAGCCGCGGUAAUACGGAGGAUCCGAGCGUUAGCCGGAUUUAUUGGGUUUAAAGGGAGCGUAGGUGGAUUGUUAAGUCAGUUGUGAAAGUGUGCGGCUCAACCGUAAAAUUGCAGUUGAAACUGGCAGUCUUGAGUACAGUAGAGGUGGGCGGAAUUCGUGGUGUAGCGGUGAAAUGCUUAGAUAUCACGAAGAACUCCGAUUGCGAAGGCAGUUCACUGGACUGCAACUGACACUGAGGCUCGAAAGUGUGGGUAUCAAACAGGAUUAGAUACCCCGGUAGUC